rnacentral:rRNA from 1 species
UACGGUGGGUGCAAGCGUUGUCCGGAAUCACUGGGCGUAAAGGGCGCGUAGGCGGCUCAUGAAGGCUGUGGUGAAAGUCCGGGGCUCAACCUCGGAUCGGCCGUGGCGACUCGUGGGCUGGAGCACUGUAGAGGCGGGUGGAAUUCCGGGUGUAGCGGUGGAAUGCAUAGAGAUCCGGAAGAACACCAGUGGCGAAGGCGGCCCGCUGGGCAGUGGCUGACGCUGAGGCGCGAAAGCGUGGGGAGCAAACAGG